GAUGAACGCUGGCGGCGUGCCUAACACAUGCAAGUCGAGCGAGAAAUUACUCAAUGAAUCUUCGGAAGAAUUAAGUAAUGGAAAGCGGCGGACGGGUGAGUAACGCGUGGGCAACCUGCCUUUCACAGAGGGAUAGCCAAAGGAAACUUUGAUUAAAACCUCAUAAAGCCGGAAUAGUGCAUAAUAUACCGGCCAAAGAUUUAUCGGUGAAAGAUGGGCCCGCGUCUGAUUAGCUAGUUGGUGGGGUAACGGCUCACCAAGGCAACGAUCAGUAGCCGACCUGAGAGGGUGAUCGGCCACAUUGGAACUGAGACACGGUCCAAACUCCUACGGGAGGCAGCAGUGGGGAAUAUUGCACAAUGGGCGAAAGCCUGAUGCAGCAACGCCGCGUGAACGAAGAAGGCCUUCGGGUCGUAAAGUUCUGUCCAUAGGGAAGAAACAAAUGACGGUACCUAUGGAGGAAGCCCCGGCUAAAUACGUGCCAGCAGCCGCGGUAAUACGUAUGGGGCAAGCGUUAUCCGGAAUUAUUGGGCGUAAAGAGUGCGUAGGUGGUGGCUUAAGCGCAGGGUUUAAGGCAAUGGCUUAACUAUUGUUCGCCUUGCGAACUGGGUCACUUGAGUACAGGAGAGGAAAGCGGAAUUCCUAGUGUAGCGGUGAAAUGCAUAGAUAUUAGGAGGAACACCGGUGGCGAAGGCGGCUUUCUGGACUGCAACUGACACUGAGGCACGAAAGCGUGGGUAGCAAACAGGAUUAGAUACCCUGGUAGUCCACGCCGUAAACGAUGAGCACUAGGUGUCGGCCACUAAAGGUCGGUGCCGCAGUUAACGCAUUAAGUGCUCCGCCUGGGGAGUACGCACGCAAGUGUAAAACUCAAAGGAAUUGACGGGGACCCGCACAAGCAGCGGAGCAUGUGGUUUAAUUCGAAGCAACGCGAAGAACCUUACCAGAACUUGACAUCCCUCUGACAGAUCCUUAAUCGGAUUCUUCUUCGGACAGAGGAGACAGGUGGUGCAUGGUUGUCGUCAGCUCGUGUCGUGAGAUGUUGGGUUAAGUCCCGCAACGAGUGCAACCCUUAUCAUUAGUUGCCAUCAUUAAGUUGGGCACUCUAGUGAGACUGCCGGGGACAACUCGGAGGAAGGUGGGGAUGACGUCAAAUCAUCAUGCCCCUUAUGUUCUGGGCUACACACGUGCUACAAUGGUCGGUACAGAAAGCAGCGAAACCGUGAGGUGAAGCCAAUCUCCAAAACCGAUCUCAGUUCGGAUUGUAGGCUGCAACUCGCCUACAUGAAGUCGGAGUUGCUAGUAAUCGCAGAUCAGAAUGCUGCGGUGAAUGCGUUCCCGGGUCU
rnacentral:rRNA from 1 species